rnacentral:pre_miRNA from 1 species
AGCCUUCUGUAUCUGUGCUGAGAUUUCGUCAUACACCAGACCACAAGGGCUGAUGAGACUUCCAAGAUAAGUGAAGCG